AAGUAUAUUGUUAAAGGAGAUGGAUCCCGAGGUUGCAGUGACUGGAGAUACCCAUGUUGUGGCGGGUCAUGUGGUCAGUCAGAAGGAUCUCGUCCAGUGCGGCAUCUUACGUCCUGGAAAA